GAAGCAUGACAGGAAAUAAAACGUUUAAUAUUUUUUUUCUUCGAACAUUAGCAAAGAACAUCAUAUCAUACACUAAGCAGUGAAUGACAGUGAAUGACUAACAGAUUAUAAAGUUUCACUAAAGAAAACCAGGAAUGUUCUCGAGGUUUUACGGUCCCAUCAAAUCAAAGUGUCUUUAAGGAUGCCCUUCCUGAUUGUUCUUAGAUCUACCGAAAGCAAGAAAUGGUAUCCAGAAAAUCAGCCGUAUGAUUUUACGGUUAAACUUCCAAGAAAAUUCCAUGUAAUGUCUUCUUGCACAUUGGAGCUGACUGCAAUUUAUGCAAAGCGUACAUAAAUGUGCCGUGUGUCGAUAAAGAAAUCUACAUUUAUUGCGAUGCUUGUGAAAUGUCCAGAGUAGGAGAUGAGGAAAAACCACUGCUUCGUAACAUGGUCUUAAACGUGGAUAGAAUGGAUUAUAGCGAAAUAUUUCAAAACCCAUACAAAGUAGCAGUUAUUGACAGAACUAUAGACCAUCUCCACAUCGAGAUAAAAACCAAGAGCAAUAUGCAUGCAACCUUUCUCCGCGACGACCUGACGGUAACCCUUAUGCUCCGAGGCCCAUUUAGUUAUUCACUAGUUCAGAACGAUUCUUUGUAAUUUU